CUCUAAGUGCGGCACAGCGAGCGAGCGCGAACAUGCAACACGACUAGUAUGCUCUCGAGCUCGGUAAUGCGCACAUCAUGGACGAGAGUGGGCGCGCAAGGCACAGGCAAAGGCAAAGGCACAGGCAGCAGGCGACAUGCGGCAGGCGAGCGACCCCAGUCGGCGGGCGGGCGCACGGAACAGGUUGCCUGGCGGCAGGGUGGGAUGGAUGUGGUGUCGUCUUCAGCUUCGUCUUCGUCUUCGAUUGUGGACUGACAACAGGAGGAAGUGAUAGAUAUCGUAUGUAGCAUGUGAAUCGAAAAGUGCGUGCCCCUGAUUGGGCCAAGGCCCCAAGGCCCUCAGGUCUCUGCCAUUAGGUUCUCGACAUGUUUACCUACCAGCGACUGAUGGCUUCAAGCAUUCACCUUUGUCCAAGCCACUGCCCGUUGCCCGCUGCUGCCACAAAGUGACAAACGUCCCAGCGGCAGUGCUGUGGCAUAACGCUUCGACCUCCCUCGUGUACGAGUUUUUGGAAGCAUUACAAGUGACCCGUCAGCAUGGACUUUGCAGCCCGGCAACCCCGCACCCAACACUACUGGCCAGAAGAAGACUGUUUACAGUCGCGUCUUGAAAAUUGUCAGGAUGCUUUAAGGACACGUACCGCUUGCAUGUGCUACAGGGCAUCAAAGAGGACAUCGCCGACAGCACACAAGGGAUACAGUUGUUAACGUAUACAAGGGGUAGGCGUCGACGACGACGACGACGACGACGAGGACAAACAUGCCAACCGAGCAACGGGAAGGGUUGGCCUACUACGCCUCCGCCUCCGCUCGACUGCAGUUGAAGGAAUGGCAAGGAAAGGAGCACUUUAUGUGCAUAUAAUAUCUGAAUGUUCGCCGUACCACAUACGACCCAGAGGCAGAGCCACAGCCAUAGCCAGGGCCAGACACAUGUAUACGUAGGACACAGUGUCAUCCAAGUUGCGGGGAAUUGUUAAUAUUGUCUGUGCGCCUGUAAGCAGCAUUUACAUGCUGGCCGACACCACGUACUACUAGGACGUCGAAGUCCUGGCUGAUAGAAGAGCUCUCAUGUGUGGAUGGGCCCCGCUCGGGCUUUAAGUAGGCGCACUCUCUGGCAACAGACUUUGUUUUAACAACAACAAAAAAAGAAGAUAAAUCUACAGACAUGCAUAUAUUUCGCAGAUGCUGAAUCAACUUAUGAAGCUGGCCGGCGCUUUCAUUAGAUGCAAAAAGGAUGAAUCUAGUGCAGAACUUUGUCUGGAUGUGGAAAAGCCAAAAGGCCGAUGCGUUCUUAAUUCCAACAUUAAGACAAAAAUGGAAAGAAAAAAAAACUCUUGGCUUUGGUAUGAAAUUGAUUCAUUCAUUUUCAAUCCAUUGAGUCAGAUUCUUAUCCGAUGGAUGAGUCGGAGCCGGUCCAGCACCCAGCUUCAGCACUUUCAAUAGUAUGCAUCCAACAUCCAACAUCCAACAGGUAGUCAAAGCAGACAGACUGUCUCCACUGGGCCCCGCCAGACGAUAUGUCUUCUCGUAUGAGAGAAGUAGGAGUAGGAGAUUGCCAACUGACGCGUCAUCAAUAAAGGAAUGUUCUGGUUUCGAAAUGGUUUGAAGUGUGUGGAACUGUUCCGAGCACAGGAGAUGGAUGGAUGGAUUGAUCGAGAAUAAACCCUAUUUAGUAAAAUAAUAGACUAAGAGACGCAGUUGAAUAUUUGGAAUAUUUCUAGUCGUGAUUGGCAAUACGAACUUUACUCUAUAAGAAAAAGACAUGCACCAAUAUUUUUU